AUUGAACGCUGGCGGCAUGCCUAACACAUGCAAGUCGAGCGGAGCGGCGGACGGGCGAGUAAUGCCUAGGAAUCUGCCUGGUAGUGGGGGAUAACGUCCGGAUAGGCGCGCUAAUACCGCAUACUAGCAGAUGAGCCUAGGUCGGUUGAGCUAGUUGGUGGGGUAAAGGCCUACCAAGGCGACGAGCCCUAACUGGUUUGAGAGGAUGAUCAGUCACACUGGAACUGAGACAAGGUCCAGACUCCGACGGGAGGCAGCAGUGGGGAAUAUGGGACAAUGGGCGAAAGCCUGAUCCAGCCAUGCCGCGUGUGUGAAGAAGGUCUUCGGAUUGUAAAGCACUUUAAGUUGGGAGGCGUUACCAACAGAAGAAGCACCGGCUAACUCCGUGCCAGCAGCCGCGGUAAUAC
rnacentral:rRNA from 1 species